CCUACGGGAGGCAGCAGUCGAGAAUCAUUCACAAUGGGGGAAACCCUGAUGGUGCGACGCCGCGUGGGGGAAUGAAGGUCUUCGGAUUGUAAACCCCUGUCAUGUGGGAGCAAAUUAAAAAGAUAGUACCACAAGAGGAAGAGACGGCUAACUCUGUGCCAGCAGCCGCGGUAAUACAGAGGUCUCAAGCGUUGUUCGGAAGCACUGGGCGUAAAGCGUGCGUAGGCUGUUUCGUAAGUCGUGUGUGAAAGGCGCGGGCUCAACCCGCGGACGGCACAUGAUACUGCGAGACUAGAGUAAUGGAGGGGGAACCGGAAUUCUCGGUGUAGCAGUGAAAUGCGGAGAUAUCGAGAGGAACACUCGUGGUGAAGGCGGGUUCCUGGACAUUAACUGACGCUGAGGCACGAAGGCCAGGGGAGCGAAAGGGAUUAGAUACCCCAGUAGUC
rnacentral:rRNA from 1 species